rnacentral:sRNA from 1 species
AUGCGGAGGGUGGUGCUCCUCCUGGGCCUCUUAAAUGAGGACGACACGUGCCACGCCUCUUUCUUGCGGGUAUCCAAGAUGCGCCUCAAUGUCCUUUUAAAGAAGCAAGAAGAGAGCCAGGUGCACCCUCUGGAGUGGGUGGCAAGGGAAGCCUGCAACCAGGACGCUCUCCAGGAGGCGGGCACAUUCAGGCACACCCUCUGGAAGCGGGUCCAAGGUGCUGUCACCCCUCUGCUGGCGAGCAUCAUAUCAUUCAUCGACAGAGACGGCAACCUAGAGCUACUGACCAGGCCAGAUACUCCGCCCUGGGCAAGAGAUCUUUGGAUGUUUAUUUACAGUGACACGACGCUUCUGAACAUUCCUCUUGUGAUGAAUAAUGAAAGACAUAAAGGUGAGAUGGCCUAUAUCAUGGUGCAGAACUACAUGAACCUUUCCGAGAACGCUUCCAACAAUGUCCCUUUCAGCUGGAGAAUCAAGGACUAUCUGGAGGAGCUGUGGGUCCAGGCUCAGUACAUCACAGACGCAGAAGGACUGCCGAAGAAGUUCGUGGACAUCUUUCAGCAGACUCCUCUGGGCAGGUUUCUUGCCCAGCUCCAUGGAGAGACGCAGCAGGAACUUCUUCAGUGUUACUCGAAGGAUUUCAUUCUCUUGACCAUGCGUGUGUCAACGGAGGAGGAAUUAAAGUUUCUGCAGAUGGCUCUGUGGUCCUGCACUAGGGAACUGAAAGCAGCGUCAGCAGCGCCCGAGGAAGAGGUUUCCUUACCGUGGGUGCACCUUGCCUACCAGCGUUUCAGAAGCCGGCUGCAGAACUUCUCCAGAAUCCUGACCAUCUACCCUCAGGUUCUCCACAGCCUGAUGGAAGCCCGUCGGAACCAUGAGCUGGCUGGAUGUGAGAUGACCCUGGAUGCAUUUGCCGCAAUGGCCUGCACGGAGAUGCUGACAAGAGACACCCUGAAGCCCAGUCCCCAGGCGUGGCUACAGUUGGUGAAGAAUCUUUCCAUGCCGCUGGAGCUCAUCUGCUCCGAUGGGCACACGCAAGGCAGCGGGAGCCUGGCCCAGGCUGUCAUCAGGGAAGUCAGAGCCCAGUGGAGUCGGAUUUUCUCCACCGCACUCUUUGUGGAGCAUGUGCUCCUAGGAACCGAGAGCCAGGUCCCCGAGUUACACAGGCUGGUGACCGAGCACGUCUUCUUACUAGACAAGUGUCUUCGAGAGAACUCUGACGUGAAGACGCACAGGCCUUUUGAGGCCGUGAUGAGCACUCUCUGUGAAUGCAAGGAGAGAGCCAGCAAGACCCUCAGCAGGUUUGGGGUUCAGCCGUGCCCCAUCUGCCUGGGAGACGCAGAGGACCCCGUCUGUCUGCCCUGCGACCACGUGCACUGCCUGCGCUGCCUCAGGGCCUGGUUUGCUCCAGGGCAGAUGAUGUGCCCCUACUGUUUAACUGCCUUGCCAGACGAAUUCUCUCCAGCUGUUUCCCAAGCGCACAGGGAAGCCAUUGAAAAGCAUGCCCGCUUCCGGCAGAUGUGCAACAGUUUCUUCGUAGACCUGGUGUCCACCAUGUGCUUCAAGGACAAUGCUCCACCUGAGAAGAAAGUGAUUGAGAGCCUGCUCUCUCUCCUCUUUGUCCAAAAGGAGCUCUUAAGAGAUGCUCCCCAGAGACACCGUGAACACACAAAAUCUCUCUCUCCAUUCAAUGAUGUUGUGGAUAAGACUCCUGUCAUCCGCUCAGUGAUACUGAAACUGCUUUUGAAGUACAGCUUCAAUGAUGUAAAAGAUUAUAUUCAGGAAUAUUUGACCCUGUUAAAAAAGAAAGCAUUCAUAAUUGAAGAUAAAACUGAACUGUACAUGCUCUUCAUCAACUGCCUGGAGGAUUCAAUACAUGAGAAGACCAGUGCUUGCUCCAGAAAUGAUGAACUGAACCACCUAAGAGAGGAACGUCGUUUCCUUAAGAUGUAUUCUCAAGGAAGACGUGGCCGAGAGCCUGCCAACGAGGCCUCGGUUGAAUACCUGCAAGAGGUGGCCCGGAUCCGCCUCUGCCUCGACAGAGCUGCCGAUUUCCUCUCAGAGCCUGAGGAGGGCCCAGAGAUGGCCGAGGAGAAGCAGUGCUACCUGCGGCAAGUCAAGCACUUCUGUAUCUGGGUGGAGAACGACUGGCACCGGGUGUACCUGGUGCGGAAGCUCAGCAGCCAGCGGGGGAUGGAGUUCGUGCAGGGCCUCUCCAAGCCCGGCCACCCGCACCAGUGGGUGUUUCCCAAGGACGUUGUCAAGCAGCAGGGGCUGCAGCAGGACCACCCAGGCCAGAUGGAUAGGUACCUGGUGUACGGCGAUGAAUACAAGGCUCUCCGUGAUGCUGUGGCCAAAGCUGUCCUCGAGUGCAAGCCGCUGGGCAUUGAGACUGCUCUGAAGGCCUGCAAGACCCCCCAAAACCGGCAGUCAGCCUGCUUCCUGCUAACACUGUUUAGAGAGGUGGCUGUCUUGUACAGGUCCCACAGUGCGAGCCUCCACCCCACGCCAGAGCAACGUGAAGCUGUGAGCAAAUUCAUUGGCGAAUGCAAGAUCCUUUCACCUCCUGAUAUCAGCCAUUUUGCAACAUCGCUCGUGGACAAUUCUCUGCCAUUGUUGAGGGCGGGCCCCAGUGACAGCAACCUUGACGGAACGGUGACAGAAAUGGCCAUUCAUGCUGCAGCCGUCCUUCUGUGUGGACAGAAUAAACUCUUGGAGCCCCUAAAGAAUCUGGCCUUCUCCCCAGCCAACAUGGCGCAUGCUUUUCUUCCAACCAUGCCUGAAGACUUGCUGGCUCAAGCUCGGAGGUGGAAGGGUCUGGAGGGAGUCCACUGGUACACUUGUCCCAACGGCCAUCCUUGCUCCGUGGGAGAGUGCGGCAAGCCGAUGGAACAGAGCACCUGCAUUGACUGCCAUGCGCCGAUUGGAGGCAUUAACCACAAACCUCGGGACGGCUUUCGUCUGGUCAAUGACAGGGCAGACAGAACACAGACCGGCCAUGUGCUAGGCGACCCGCAGCAGAGAGACGUGGUGACAUGUGACCGAGGGCUGCCCCCAGUGGUCUUCAUCCUCAUCCGGCUACUCACUCACUUGGCUCUGCUUCUGGGAGCUUCCCAGAGUUCCCAGGCUCUGAUAAACAUCAUUAAGCCUCUAGCGAGGGAUCCAAAAGGCUUUCUGCAGCAGCACAUCCUGAAGGACCUGGAGCAGUUGGCCAAGAUGCUGGGACACAGUGCCGACGAGACCAUCACCGUGGUCCACCUUGUUCUGCGCAGGCUUCUCCAAGGGCAGCACCAGCUCUCUAGCAAAAGUGAGGAAAGGGGCAAGGGCUGGGCGGGGAUCACACAGCACAACGGCAGCACAGGCAGGCUCGCUGUCUUGUGGGCCACCCCACAUGCAGCCAGUCUGAGCUCUGUCUGUGCUGUUGCUGGAAAGAAUGAGAGAACACACAGAGAGAAAACCGUAUCUAGGGAAAGCGAUGCCUGGAGCUGGAAAAAGGAAGCACUUUGCUUGCUCAGAGGCUGGAAGGAGCUGCUCUGUUCCCUCCAUUCACCCCUGCCUGGCUAAGACCUGCGGUAUUCGGGAGCGUCUGCACACAAGUGUUCAGUGUGCAUAUAUGGGGAGUCUUCAGUUCUGAAGUCAGCCCCAUAGGUCAUUCCCCUACCAUGCUGGGAGCACGUGUCGUCCACACAGAGCGUGUGUGUCAAAGGAUCAGUUACCAUCACAGUUGUGUGAUUAUAUGUCCACAGUUAUGUU